rnacentral:rRNA from 1 species
AAUCAGUUAUCGUUUAUUUGAUAGUACCUUGCUACUUGGAUACCUGUGGUAAUUCUAGAGCUAAUACAUGCUAAAAACCCCGACUCCGGGAGGGGUGUAUUUAUUAGAUAAAAAACCAAUGCCCUCCGGGGCUCCUUGGUGAUUCAUAAUAACUCAACGAAUCGCAUGGCCUUGCGCCGGCGAUGGUUCAUUCAAAUUUCUGCCCUAUCAACUUUCGAUGGUAGGAUAGUGGCCUACCAUGGUUUCUACGGGUAACGGGGAAUUAGGGUUCGAUUCCGGAGAGGGAGCCUGAGAAACGGCUACCACAUCCAAGGAAGGCAGCAGGCGCGCAAAUUACCCAAUCCCGACACGGGGAGGUAGUGACAAUAAAUACUGAUACAGGGCUCUUUCGGGUCUUGUAAUUGGAAUGAGUACAAUUUAAAUCCCUUAACGAGGAACAAUUGGAGGGCAAGUCUGGUGCCAGCAGCCGCGGUAAUUCCAGCUCCAAUAGCGUAUAUUAAAGUUGUUGCAGUUAAAAAGCUCGUAGUUGAAACUUGGGCCUGGCUGGCCGGUCCGCCUCACCGCGUGCACUGGUCCGGCCGGGCCUUUCCUUCUGGGGAGCCGCAUGCCCUUUAUUGGGUGUGCCGGGGAACCAGGACUUUUACUUUGAAAAAAUUAGAGUGUUCAAAGCAGGCCUAUGCUCGGAUACAUUAGCAUGGAAUAUAGAAUAGGACGUGUGGUUCUAUUUUGUUGGUUUCUAGGACCGCCGUAAU